rnacentral:rRNA from 1 species
AGUGAACGCUGGCGGUAGGCCUAACACAUGCAAGUCGAACGGCAGCACAGUAAGAGCUUGCUCUUACGGGUGGCGAGUGGCGGACGGGUGAGGAAUACAUCGGACUCUACUUUUUCGUGGGGGAUAACGUAGGGAAACUUACGCUAAUACCGCAUACGACCUACGGGUGAAAGCAGGGGAUCUUCGGACCUUGCUCGAUUGACUGAUCCGAUGUCGGAUUAGCUAGUUGGCGGGGUAAAGGCCCACCAAGGCGACGAUCCGUAGCUGGUCUGAGAGGGUGAUCAGCCACACUGGAACUGAGACACGGUCCAGACUCCUACGGGAGGCAGCAGUGGGGAAUAUUGGGCAAUGGGCGCAAGCCUGAUCCAGCCAUACCGCGUGGGUGAAGAAGGCCUUCGGGUUGUAAAGCCCUUUUGUUGGGAAAGAAAAGCAGCAGGUUAAUACCCCGCUGUUCUGACGGUACCCAAAGAAUAAGCACCGGCUAACUUCGUG